GUCACCCAGUGUUGUCACCUGGUUGUCACCCAGUAUCAUAUGGCGGUGUCACCCCAUUGUCACCCAUCACCACCAGGUGGUGUCACCUGAUGGCAUCACCCGGCAAUGUCACCCAGUGUUGUCACCUGGUUGUCACCCAGUUAUCACCCGGUGGUGUCACCCAGCAUCACCUGGCAGCGUCACCACGCAGCGUCACCCAGUUGUCACCUAAUAUCACCUGGCAGUGUCACCCAGUGUUGUCACCUGGUUGUCACCCGGUAUCAUAUGGCGGUGUCACCCUGUGGUGUCACCCAUCACCGCCUGGCGGGGUCACCCAGUUGUCACCCAGCAUCACCUCGUGGUGUCACCCGAUGGCAUCACCCAGCGGUGUCACCCAGCGGUGUCACCCGGCAAUGCCACCCGCUCGUCACCCAUCACCACCUGGCGGUGUCACCCACGGCUGUCACCCAGUGCAGUCACCCACCAUUGCCACGUGUCGGUGUCACCCUGGGGUGUCACCCCCCACCCCUGGCAUUGUCACCCCAACCCAACUCCCCGUCUUGGUGGUACCUUCGUAGGCAGAGUCCCACGGCGCGGUGAUGUCCGGAGGUGGUGCUUUGCUGGGGGCUGUGGGAGUGUCACUGAGUGUCCCCAUUUGGCCCCACAGUGUCCCCAUUUGGCCCUAUUUGUCCCCAUUUGCACCCAGGGGGUCCCUGUCUGUCCCCACAGUGACCCCCUCUGACCUCAUGAUGUCACCAUUUUGUCCCCAUUUGGCCCUAUUUGUCCCCAUUUGCCCCCAGGGGGUCCCUGUCUGUCCCCACAGUGACCCCCUCUGACCUCACGGUGUCCCCAUUUGUCACCACGGUGUCCCCAUUUGGCCCUAUUUGUCCCCAUUUGCACCCAAGGGAUCCCUGUCUGUCCCCACACUGACCCCCUCUGACCUCAUGGUGUCUCCAUGGUGUCCCCAUUUGUCCCCAGGGGUCCCGUUUGUCCCCACAGUGACCCCCUCUGACCUCAUGGUGUCCCCAUUUGGCCCCACGGUGUCCCCAUUUGGCCCUAUUUGUCCCCAUUUGCACCCAAGGGAUCCCUGUCUGUCCCCAGAGUGACCCCCUCUGACCUCACGGUGUCCCCAUUUGUCCUCACGGUGCCCCGUUUGUCCCCAGAAUGUCUCCAUUCAUCGCCAGGUGUCCCUAUUUGUCCUCAGCUGUCCCCACAGCGUCCCCGUUUGUCCCCAUUUGUCCCCUAAGUGUCCCCCUCUGACCUCACGGUGUCCCCAUUUGUCCCCAUUUGUGCCCAAGGGUUGGGGACACUCAAAGGUUGGGGGGAGGACAAAAAGGGUUGGGCUAAAGGGGGAGGGGCCCAAAAGGGUGGGGACAAAAGGGGAGGGCCCUAAAAGAUGGGGGUAAGAGGGGGAGGGGCCUUAAAAGGGUGGGACCCAAAGGGGGAGGGGCCUAAAGGGGUGGGGGCGCGGUGGGCGGGGCCUAAAGGCGCUAGAAAUGGGAGGACCCCAAGGGGGCGUGGCCUCGCGGCCCUCCCAACUUCCGCUUCCCGUUAGGCCCCGCCCUCCCUUCAGUCUCUUCUCCCCCUCCAAAGGACCCCCCCCCAAACGCUCCCCCCCCCAAAUCCCCGCCCCCUCCCGCCCCCCCCUCGCCUCGUACCGUCGCUCCCGGGCCCGCCCGGCACCCCCCCGCCGCCCGCGGGCAGCAGCAGCAACAGCGCCAGCACCGGCCCUGCCGCCAUGGCCCCCAGGUGACGUCACUGCUGUGCGACGAGGCGCCGCCCGGUGGCGUCAGGCAGGUGCGCGGCCAGGUGAGCAGCCACACCCCUCCCCUCCCCUCCUUCCCCGGCGGGGGGUGGGCCACGCCCCCUUCGUUUGCAUGUGGCGCGGGAAAGAGAGGAGGGAGAACGCAGGGGAUGAUGGGGCGGAUAGGGGCUAUGGGGUACAGGGCUCUGUAGGGGCUGUGAGGCCCUAUAGGGGUUACAGGGCUGUAUAGGGCACUAUAGGGCUCUAUAGGGUGCUGUGGGGCUCUAUGGGAUGCUAUGGGGAUCCUAUAUGGGUUAUAGGACACCAUAGGGCACUGCUGGACUCUAUAGGUUGCUAUGAGGGCUACGGAGCUGUAGAGGGCGCUGUGGGGCUCUAUGGGAUGCUAUAGGGGCUGUAAGGAUCCUAUACGGGCUAUAAGACACUAUAAGGUACUAUGGAGCUCUAUAGGGUGCUGUGGAGUUCUAUAGGUUGCUAUGAGGGCUGUGGGGCUCUAUAGGAUGCAACGGAAAUGCCUUAAAACCCCAAAUUUCACCCCCAAAACCCCAAAUUCCACCCCAAAAUCCCCGAAAUUCCCCCCAAAGCCUCCAAAACCCCUCCCAAAUACCCCCAAUUCCACCCCAAAAAUGCCUCCAAACCCCCAAUUUCACCCCCCAAACCCCCAAUUCCACCCCUAAAAUUGCCAUGGAUCCCCAAACCCCCCAAAAUCCCAAAUUUCACCCCCAAAAAUGCCACCCAAAUCCUCCAAUUCCACCUCAAAACCCCAAAUUUCACCCCCAAAUCCUCCAAUUCCACCCCAAAAAUCCCAUCUCCCCCCCACCCCACCCAAUGGAACAACGUUGGAUUUUGGGGUCAAAACCCCCCCAAAAAGGGACCCGGAACGUCGUGCCAAAACCCACCACUUUCCCCCACCGCCACAGACCCCAAAAGGAGCCGAAAUGGACCCAAAAAGGGCGGCGCUAUUUACAAUUUAUUACAACUCCAAAAAGCCAAAAUCCGCUUCAAGCUUUGCCAAAGGAAAAAGAAAAAAAAAACACCGAAAAAAAACAAAAAACGCCGAUUUUGGGGUUUUUUUUUGUGUGUAAAAAUGGGGAUAUUUUACAAAAAAGCGCAACUUUUGUACAGGCGGAGGGGAGGAGCGCACCCAAAAGUGCCAUUUUUUGGCCCAAUUUCACCUUUUUAAACACUUUUUUAUGGGGGGGGGGGGGGGAUGCGGGGGUUGGACAGGAGCCGUUUUGGCCCAAAUUGCCCAAAAUUGGUGGAAUUUCACCCGGUUUUGCUGGUGGGUGGGAGAGCGGAAGCCGUCGGUUCCUGGCAGUGAUGGCCAUUUGGGGGGCAUUUUGGGGGCGUUGUGGGGCAUUUCGGGGGGCCUUUUUGGGGCGUUCUGGGGUAUUUUGGAGCAUUUGGGGGGCACUUUGGGGCCAUUUUAGAGUAAUCUGGGGGCAUUUGGGGCCAUUCUGGGGAAUUUUGGGACCAUUCUGGGGCAAUUUGAGGCCAUUCUGGGCAUUUGGGGCCAUUCUGGGGAAUUUUGGGACUAUUUUGGGGCCAUUCUGGGGCAAUUUGAGGCCAUUUGGGGCCAUUCUGGGGUAUUUUGGGGGCAUUGUGGGGGAAUUUUGGGACCAUUUGGGGGCCAUUUUGGGCAUUUGGGGCCAUUCUGGGGUAUUUCGGGGCCACUGGGGGCAUUUUGUGGUAUUUUGGGGCCAUGUGGGGGCAUUUGGGGGGAAUUCUGGGGAACGUGGGGGCAUUUGGGCCAUUUUGGGGAAUUUGGGGUGCGUUUUGGGGGGCAUUCAGGGGGUUUUUGGGGCCAUUUUGGGUUAUUUCCCCACCUUUUGGGGUUAUUUCCUCCCAUUUUGGGUCAUUUCCCCCACAAUCUGUGUUUUUCCCCCCACAUUUUGGGUUAUUCUCCCAACUUUUUGUGUUAGUUCCCCCCCAUUUGGGGUCAUCUCCCCCCAUUUUGGCCUCAUUUCCCCCUUUUGCUCUUCCACCCCUCUCUCCCACACUCCCCACCAUCCACCACCAUUCCCCCCACGCCCCACACAAACCCCUCCUCCUCACCCCAACCCCCCUCACCCCCCAUCCCCACCACCCCACGCUCUCCUUCA
ensembl:lncRNA